CGUGUAGGCGGGGCGGUGCGUCGGUCGCUGAAAUCCCCCGGCUCAACCGGGGAAGGGGCGCCGAGACGACCGCCCUGGAGCGACGUAGGGGGAACUGGAACUUCCGGUGGAGCGGUGAAAUGCGUUGAGAUCGGAAGGAACGCCCGUGGCGAAAGCGAGUUCCUGGACGUCGGCUGACGCUGAGACGCGAAAGCCAGGGGAGCGAACG
rnacentral:rRNA from 1 species